UACAGAGGGUGCAAGCGUUAAUCGGAUUUACUGGGCGUAAAGCGUGUGUAGGUGGCUGUUCAAGUCGGUUGUGAAAGCCCUGGGCUCAACCUAGGAAUUGCUUCCGAGACUGAGCGGCUAGAGUACGGUAGAGGGCGGUGGAAUUUCCGGUGUAGCGGUGAAAUGCGUAGAUAUCGGAAGGAACACCAAUGGCGAAGGCAGCCGCCUGGGCCUGUACUGACACUGAGACACGAAAGCGUGGGGAUCAAACAGG
rnacentral:misc_RNA from 1 species